rnacentral:rRNA from 1 species
UACAGAGGGGGCAAGCGUUGUUCGGAAUUACUGGGCGUAAAGGGCGCGUAGGCGGCCCGCUAAGUCGAACGUGAAAUCCCCGGGCUCAACCCGGGAACUGCGUCCGAUACUGGUGGGCUUGAAUCCGGGAGAGGGAUGCGGAAUUCCUGGUGUAGCGGUGAAAUGCGCAGAUAUCAGGAGGAACACCGGUGGCGAAGGCGGGUCUCUGGGCCGAUACUGACGCUGAGGAGCGAAAGCGUGGGGAGCAAACAGG